CACAAAAAUUCAAAAAUCGGUGUUAGUAUAAAUACUUGUGUAAGUCAGAUCAAUCAAAUUAUAAGGUUUUAUUGGUUGAUGAUGGUAAUGGGGUAUAAUUGCUAUCGAUAAGUUGCUUAUCAUAUUGACAAGGCGAAGUGCAUGUAGUAUCUUUUACACUACAGCAUUGUGCGGUCAACCAAUUUUCUGUCGAGAAAACUUUAGAGAAGACCAAAUACUUAAAAUGUUUAAACUGUUUUGGAAACUUCUGUUAUUAAUCCUUUUGUAUGGCUUUUACAAGCUAUACAAAGAUUUCCAGCCAUUGACGCCUGAUAACGUAAUCUGGUUUCAGAUGCUGGAAGGUGCUAUGGUCAUAGUGUUAUGUCUUCUUCCAUUGGGUUUUGCAUAUGUGGCUGUGAAAUGGCGUUAUAGACAAAAUAAAAGGCAACGUUUUAUAAACAGGAUUGAAGAAUUGAAUAAAGUAGCAUUAAGCAAUUCAACUGAUGAUCAAACCUUAUAAGUGGGUGUCUGAUGUAAAAUUGAUUAAUUGGAUAUUAUAAUGAAAACUAUUCAACCAAGUAAUGAAAUGGACAACAAAAUAAGAGAAAUUGGACUAUUUGAAUAAUUUGUU